GGGUUUCCACUCUCAGUGCAAGUUCUCGGUGUUCUUCGAAGCUCAAGGCUGCAGAUCUUCUCAGGCCGAUGCCAUAUGUGAGUAGUUAAAGAUUGAAAGAAUAUAAGGCCGAAACCAUUCUUUCUGUAUCAAGGCUUGAAGAUUUUCUGCAUUUCAAAGGCCGAAGCUAAAGUUGCAAGGAACAUUUGAAGAUUUGUUGAUCUUUCUGGGUUCUUUUACAUUUCAUAAGGUCGAAGCCGAAGUGUAGUUCCGAAGUUUGUUUGAAGGAAUUUUUGAGAAAUUUCUUGAUGUGUAAAACAUUUUCUUGGUGUUUAACAAUGUCUGAGUGAAAGUUCUAAGCUAUGGAUAUCGAUCCCAGUUUCCUUUUGA